rnacentral:rRNA from 1 species
CAUAUCAAUAAGCGGAGGAAUAGAAACCAACAGGGAUUGCCCCAGUAACGGCGAGUGAAGCGGCAACAGCUCAAAUUUGAAAUCUGGUCCCCAGGGCCCGAGUUGUAAUUUGCAGAGGAUGCUUUUGGUGAGGUGCCUUCCGAGUUCCCUGGAACGGGACGCCAUAGAGGGUGAGAGCCCCGUCUGGUUGGAUACCGAGCCUCUGUAAAGCUCCUUCGACGAGUCGAGUAGUUUGGGAAUGCUGCUCUAAAUGGGAGGUAUAUGUCUUCUAAAGCUAAAUAUUGGCCAGAGACCGAUAGCGCACAAGUAGAGUGAUCGAAAGAUGAAAAGCACUUUGAAAAGAGGGUUAAAUAGUACGUGAAAUUGUUGAAAGGGAAGCACUUAUGACCAGACUUGGCCCCGGUGAAUCAUCCAGCGGUUCCCGCUGGUGCACUUUGCCGGGGUUCAGGCCAGCAUCAGUUCGCUCCGGGGGAUAAAGGCUUUGGGAAUGUGGCUCCCUCGGGAGUGUUAUAGCCCAUUGCGUAAUACCUUGUGGCGGGCUGAGGUUCGCGCUUUAUGCAAGGAUGCUGGCAUAAUGGUCAUCAGUGACCCGUCUUGAAACACGGACCAAGGAGUCGUCUUCGUAUGCGAGUGUUCGGGUGUUAAACCCCUACGCGUAAUGAAAGUGAACGCAGGUGAGAGCCCUCCAGGGCGCAUCAUCGACCGAUCCUGAUGUUCUCGGAUGGAUUUGAGUAAGAGCAUACGGGGCCGGACCCGAAAGAAGGUGAACUAUGCCUGUAUAGGGUGAAGCCAGAGGAAACUCUGGUGGAGGCUCGCAGCGGUUCUGACGUGCAAAUCGAUCGUCAAAUAUGGGCAUGGGGGCGAAAGACUAAUC